rnacentral:rRNA from 1 species
GGGCCCGCACAAGCGGUGGAGCAUGUGGUUUAAUUCGAUGCAACGCGAAGAACCUUACCUGGCCUUGACAUGUACCGAAUUUAGCAGAGAUGCUUUAGUGCUCGUAAGAGAACGGUAACACAGGUGCUGCAUGGCUGUCGUCAGCUCGUGUCGUGAGAUGUUGGGUUAAGUCCCGCAACGAGCGCAACCCUUGCCAUUAAUUGCCAUCAUUUAGUUGGGCACUUUAAUGGGACUGCCGGUGACAAACCGGAGGAAGGUGGGGAUGACGUCAAGUCCUCAUGGCCCUUAUGGCCAGGGCUUCACACGUAAUACAAUGGACGGUACAGAGGGACGCCAACCCGCGAGGGGGAGCCAAUCCCAGAAAGCCGUUCGUAGUCCGGAUUGUUGUCUGCAACUCGACAACAUGAAGUCGGAAUC